rnacentral:rRNA from 1 species
AGCGGAAAGGCCCUUCGGGGUACUCGAGCGGCGAACGGGUGAGUAACACGUGAGCAAUCUGCCCUUAGCUUCGGGAUAGCUCCGGGAAACCGGAAUUAAUACCGAAUACGACCUCGGCCGACAUCGGCCCUGGUGGAAAGUUUUUCGGCUAGGGAUGAACUCGCGGCCUAUCAGCUUGUUGGUGGGGUAAUGGCCUACCAAGGCGACGACGGGUAGCCGGCCUGAGAGGGCGACCGGCCACACUGGGACUGAGACACGGCCCAGACUCCUACGGGAGGCAGCAGUGGGGAAUAUUGCGCAAUGGGCGAAAGCCUGACGCAGCGACGCCGCGUGGGGGAUGAAGGCCUUCGGGUUGUAAACCCCUUUCAGCAGGGACGAAGCGAGAGUGACGGUACCUGCAGAAGAAGCGCCGGCUAACUACGUGCCAGCAGCCGCGGUAACACGUAGGGCGCAAGCGUUGUCCGGAAUUAUUGGGCGUAAAGAGCUCGUAGGUGGCUUGCUGCGUCCGCUGUGAAAACUCAGGGCUUAACCCUGAGCUUGCAGUGGAUACGGGCAGGCUAGAGGUAGGUAGGGGAGAAUGGAAUUCCCGGU